AGAGUUUGAUCCUGGCUCAGAAUCAACGCCGGCGGCGUGCCUCAGACAUGCAAGUCGAACGAUUAAACUUUCCUUCGGGAAAGAUAUAAAGUGGCGCACGGGUGAGUAACACGUGAGUAAUCUACCUUUGAGUGGGGAAUAACCCGGGGAAACCCGAGCUAAUACCGCAUAAUGCAGCGGCACCUAAUGGUGACAGUUGUUAAAGAUUUAUCGCUUGAAGAGGAGCUUGCGGCAGAUUAGCUAGUUGGUAAGGUAAUGGCUUACCAAGGCUACGAUCUGUAACCGGUCUAAGAGGACGGUCGGUCACACUGACACUGAAUAACGGGUCAGACUCCUACGGGAGGCAGCAGUCGGGAAUUUUGGGCAAUGGGCGAAAGCCUGACCCAGCAACGCCGCGUGAAGGAUGAAGUAUUUCGGUAUGUAAACUUCGAAAGAAUGGGAAGAAUAAAUGACGGUACCAUUUAUAAGGUCCGGCUAACUACGUGCCAGCAGCCGCGGUAAUACGUAGGGACCAAGCGUUGUUCGGAUUUACUGGGCGUAAAGGGCGCGUAGGCGGCAUAUUAAGUCAGCUGUGAAAUCUCCGAGCUUAACUCGGAACUGUCAGCUGAUACUGAUGUGCUAGAGUGCAGAAGGGGCAAUCGGAAUUCUUGGUGUAGCGGUGAAAUGCGUAGAUAUCAAGAGGAACACCUGAGGUGAAGACGGGUUGCUGGGCUGACACUGACGCUGAGGCGCGAAAGCCAGGGGAGCAAACGGGAUUAGAUACCCCGGUAGUCCUGGCCCUAAACGAUGAAUACUUGGUGUCUGGAGUUUUAGUGCUCCGGGUGCCGUCGCUAACGUUUUAAGUAUUCCGCCUGGGGAGUACGCUCGCAAGAGUGAAACUCAAAGGAAUUGACGGGGACCCGCACAAGCGGUGGAGCAUGUGGUUUAAUUCGACGCAACGCGAAGAACCUUACCCUGGACUAGAAUGUGAGG
rnacentral:rRNA from 1 species